rnacentral:rRNA from 1 species
UACAGAGGGUGCUAGCGUUGUUCGGAAUCACUGGGCGUAAAGCGCACGUAGGCGGAUCUUUAAGUCAGGGGUGAAAUCCUGGAGCUCAACUCCAGAACUGCCUUUGAUACUGGGGAUCUCGAGUCCGGGAGAGGUGAGUGGAACUGCGAGUGUAGAGGUGAAAUUCGUAGAUAUUCGCAAGAACACCAGUGGCGAAGGCGGCUCACUGGCCCGGUACUGACGCUGAGGCACGAAAGCGUGGGGAGCAAACAGG